GAGCAUCCGCAAAGGAGGAUUUAACCAAUCCUUAGCGCGAUAACAUAGGUUAAUUUGAUUAAAAUAUUAAUACAUAUGCUCGAUUACGGAAGGAUUGAUCCUUGAACAAGGAUUAGAAGGAUCAAGUCCUUGUGUACGUGUCCGUCGGUGAUAGGUAGAGCUUUUGUUUGUGUUUGGCAACGAAGAUCAACAUCUCUCUCUCUCUCUCUCUCUCUCUCUCUCUCUCUCUCUCUCUCUCUCUCUCUCUCUCUCUCUCUCUCUCUCUCUCUCUCUCUCUCUCUCUCUCUCUCUCUCUCUCUCUCUCUCUCUCUCUCUCUCUCUCUCUCUCUCUCUCUCUUUCCAGGCAACGAAGAUCAACAUCCAUGGCGACUUGAAGAUGCCUCGAUACGAUGAUCGUUACAGCAGCAAUGACCGAUACGGCGGCGCACGUCUCUGUGUGGGACACCUCGGAACGCGAUCUUGAACACCUCUUCAGCAAAUACGGAAGGUCAGCUUUUGAUAAGGUUUGUAGCAGUCUUUCUGGACCAAAGCCUAAACAAGGGAUGAAUUACAGUUGAUAUGUCUAGUCGUUAGCUUAUAUGGGUAGGAGUGUUGUGGCUUAACAUGUAGUAUAUAUUAACUUCGAUGUUAAUGCCUUGAGAAAGCAUUCCCACGUCCAUGGUGAAAGGCAGUACGUUUGCGAUUACCAUGGUUGUGAUAAGGAAAGAAGGUAACAAGGGGCUUCAACAGCUGAAAGGGUGAGAUCGUUUAGAAAGGAUGAAGACCUGGAACUCAGGUUGCUAACUUGCAAGGGAUAUGGAGCAGAGACGUUCAGCUGCCAUGGGAUGGUGCUCCUCACCUGAACAUUAAUCUCCAGAUGAACUAUUGGCAUUCUCUUCCUGCUAAUAUAAGGGAAUGCCAAGAACCGUUGUUUGAUUAUAUGUCUGCUUUAGCUAUCAAUGGCCGCAAGACAGCACAAGUAAGUUUCUAUCCUUUUUGUAUUGAUGGUUACAUUGUUGACAUCAAUGUGUGAAGUUUAAUCGAAGAUGAACAAGAUAUCAGACUUUUGUUGUGAAACUGUGUUGUUCUUGCAAACAAAAGUGUCACAGAACAUAAACAUAUUUGAUCAUAUUGCUAAUUUUUUUUUA